rnacentral:rRNA from 1 species
GACGAACGCUGGCGGCGUGCUUAACACAUGCAAGUCGAGCGGAAAACUUCGGUUUUCAGCGGCGGACGGGUGAGUAACACGUGGGCAACCUGCCUCACAAUGAGGGAUAGCCUUCCGAAAGGAAGAUUAAUACCUCAUAAAACAAGAGAAACGCAUGUUUCUCUUGCCAAAGAAUUUCGUUGUGAGAUGGGCCAGCGGCGCAUUAGCUUGUUGGUGAGGUAACGGCUCACCAAGGCUGCGAUGCGUAGCCGACCUGAGAGGGUGAUCGGCCACAUUGGAACUGAGACACGGUCCAGACUCCUACGGGAGGCAGCAGUGGGGAAUAUUGCACAAUGGAGGAAACUCUGAUGCAGCAACGCCGCGUGAGUGAUGAAGGUCUUCGGAUUGUAAAACUCUGUCUUCUGGGACGAUAAUAACGGUACCAGAGGAGGAAGCCACGGCUAACUACGUGCCAGCCGCCGCGGUAA